rnacentral:rRNA from 1 species
AUGUGGGUAUCUACCCUUUGGCCUGGAAUAACACGAGGAAACUUGUGCUAAUACUGGAUAAGUCUUUACGGAGAAAGCUUUAUGCACCAUUGGAUGAGCCUGCACUUGAUUAGUUUGUUGGUGGGGUAAUGGCCUACCAAGACUGUGAUCAAUAGCUGAUUUGAGAGGAUGAUCAGCCACAUUGGGACUGAGACACGGCCCAAACUCCUACGGGAGGCAGCAGUGGGGAAUCUUGCACAAUGGAGGAAACUCUGAUGCAGCGAUGCCGCGUGAGUGAAGAAGGCCCUUGGGUUGUAAAGCUCUUUCGUCGGGG